GCUGGGUGUGGUGGUGCACACCUGUAGUCCCAGCUACUCAGGAGGCUGAGGCACGAGAAUUGCUUGAACCUGGGAGGUGGAGGUUGCAGUGAGCCGAGAUAGCACCACUACACUCCAGCCUGGGUGACAGAGCAAGACUGUGUCUCAA
ensembl:misc_RNA Metazoa_SRP Metazoan signal recognition particle RNA